rnacentral:rRNA from 1 species
GAUGAACGCUGGCGGCGUGCCUAACACAUGCAAGUCGAGCGAACAGACGAGGAGCUUGCUCCUCUGACGUUAGCGGCGGACGGGUGAGUAACACGUGGAUAACCUACCUAUAAGACUGGGAUAACUUCGGGAAACCGGAGCUAAUACCGGAUAAUAUAUUGAACCGCAUGGUUCAAUAGUGAAAGACGGUUUUGCUGUCACUUAUAGAUGGAUCCGCGCCGCAUUAGCUAGUUGGUAAGGUAACGGCUUACCAAGGCAACGAUGCGUAGCCGACCUGAGAGGGUGAUCGGCCACACUGGAACUGAGACACGGUCCAGACUCCUACGGGAGGCAGCAGUAGGGAAUCUUCCGCAAUGGGCGAAAGCUUGACGGAGCAACGCCGCGUGAGUGAUGAAGGUCUUCGGAUCGUAAAACGCUGUUGUUAGGGAAGAACAAAUGUGUGAGUAACCAUGGACGUCAUGACGGUACCUGAUCAAAAAGCCACGGCUAACUACGUG